AGAGUUUGAUCCUGGCUCAGAGUGAACGCUGGCGGUAGGCCUAACACAUGCAAGUCGAACGGCAGCACAGUAAGAGCUUGCUCUUAUGGGUGGCGAGUGGCGGACGGGUGAGGAAUACAUCGGAAUCUACUUUUUCGUGGGGGAUAACGUAGGGAAACUUACGCUAAUACCGCAUACGACCUACGGGUGAAAGCAGGGGAUCUUCGGACCUUGCGCGAUUGAAUGAGCCGAUGUCGGAUUAGCUAGUUGGCGGGGUAAAGGCCCACCAAGGCGACGAUCCGUAGCUGGUCUGAGAGGAUGAUCAGCCACACUGGAACUGAGACACGGUCCAGACUCCUACGGGAGGCAGCAGUGGGGAAUAUUGGACAAUGGGCGCAAGCCUGAUCCAGCCAUACCGCGUGGGUGAAGAAGGCCUUCGGGUUGUAAAGCCCUUUUGUUGGGAAAGAAAUCCAGCUGGUUAAUACCCGGUUGGGAUGACGGACCCAAAGAA
rnacentral:rRNA from 1 species